rnacentral:lncRNA from 1 species
AGAGAGAGAAACUUUUUGGCCUCCCUCAAUUGGUCCUCGACCGGACGAGCACAACCGGUCGACCGGUUGAACCGGUUGAGCCAUUUUUUGGCUCAACACCCAACCUUUUUCAACUUAAAACCUUUUAACACAAGUUUGAAAAUCAUUUAACACAAGGUUUUAGUUGAAAACAUGAAAUCAUCCAAUUCUUAAGAUAUUUAAAACAAUAUUACUCUUGGAUUAUUUUGGUGCAUAAAUAAAG